ACUGCAGAUCUACGAAUGUGCUUGGUUUUGUUUCCCUUUCUUUUUGCAUGUGAAUCCCAUAGAAACCGGCAGCUUUCGGUAGUCUUCCGGUUAUCUGACUAUAUGCAUCUUCUCUUUUUUUCCUCCGUACCCUUGAUUUCCGGUAGUCCAUCUUCGUUUUCAUCCGUCUAUUUUCUUUACAAUAGUUAAAGCGGUAGGCAAAUCGGUAGCGGCAGUCAAAGCGGUGGCACGUAAAUCGGCAGUCAAAGCCGUGGUAGCUAUACCCACCAGCGAACAAUUCCGUGGUCUCCGGACUCUUCCGCACGACCUCCUCCAUUGAAGUGCUCCCUAACCAAUCGCCACCUCCACCGCCCACAACACCUCAUCCCGCCGUCGCGACGCCAUAUUUUGGUCCCAGCCGACGGAAGCCGGGCACAUCUACCUGCAAGGUAGGAAGACACGGGCCGAUGGGCGCUCGCCCAGCGGCAAGCCGGCAACGCAGCUCGACGGGACGAGCAGCAGCGCCGGCAAGAAUUUGGUGCCGAUGGGAGCUCGCCCAGCGGCGACGCAGCUCCACGGGACGAGCAGCAGCGCUGGCAAGAAUUUGGGGCCGUACUCUCUGCUCUGUGGACUACGACACCCCCUCCCUCGUUUUAGGAAGGGCGUGACGGCUGGCGUGUGUGUGGGUCAGCGACGAGCUCGAGGCCACACAACAGAGGUGCCUAGCGUUGGACGCGCCAGCCGGAUGUAUACGUCGCUGGAGGCCUUUGAGGGCCGACGGGCGGCCGUGGCGAAUCAGAGGCGGGCUCACCCUGGAGCUCCACGCCCUCAAUUCUAUGGCGUGCGGCGGCCCGAGCGCAUCCCCGACCACGACGGCGCAAUGACCAGUGCACACUAGGAGAUGGACCUCCGCCAGUGUCUCCUCCACGGGCAAUAUUAAGCCGUCCUUCACCGCCAGCGACGGCGGCGCACACGUCAAUACAAAAGGCUGCGCGAGACGACCCCAUCUCUUCUGCAGAUGCGUGUCCUCCGCCUGUGCCUUUCUAAUGAGGUGCAGGCGGCCAGGAGGCACAAGGAGCAGUGAGGUCGGUGGUGCUACAAAUCCUUACGUAUUUGAUGGAAUGUCCCACACGUACUAAGGUUCAGUUUUUUUUUUUUGUUGACAAUUCAGCUGGCGAGAUGGAUGGUGUGCUCAGUCCAAGAAGAGUGGUGUUAUUACCAAGAAGUAGACUUCUGUCAAUUGUUCUCGAGGUCAAUUUUUAAAUGGGGAUCCUUGGUCCUCUCUCCAUGUACAAAACGUCAGUUGCCUUACUCCAUGGAUUUGGCCACAUCCUCCCAACAUUGGUUCUUAAUCGUUUUGUAUCUUCUGUUGCUUUUGCUUCAUAUGUUGAAUUUCAGACUUUUUGAAUUACGCGUCUCUGCUCUCACACAAAUAGGUCAACUUCUUUUGGUACUACAUGAAAUAGUUUCAGAGUUCAUGAUGGGCUUAAUAAAGAGUUUGCUACUUGGUGAGCUUAGUGCAAAAUCCUUAUAGGUGCUAAAAUGUUCCUACCUGCAAGGGUCUAUAUAGUAGCAUGAUUAGGAUAAACGGGGAAACAAAAACUGCUUAAAAAAUGGUAGUUUAAAAAACACAUAAGCUGAAUUACCAACUCUUUAUUUGGUCAUUUCAAUAAAAAUGAAGCUGCAUUACCAACUGUUGGCUCAGUUAUACGCAUAAAAUCACUCCUUACUUAGUUUAGGAAGUGUGGAGGAAGUAUAUCUUAAGUACAUAUCUUUUCCUCAUACAUUACUCAUAAUGGGGUAAGUUCUUAUGGUCAGUAUGCAUUAUCAUGUAUAAGAGCUAAUAAUUUUAGUUUUCUUCUUAAUUAGCUGAUUUACCACUGUUAAUUUUAUUUUUGCUCAAGAAAAACACUCCGUUAUCUUUCUUCAUGCAAACGAACUGUUAACCUGGACCAGUAUUCAGAUAAAAUAUUUCUCAUUAAUGAUCCCAGAGGGUGAUCCGGUAUUUCUUAGGUUUAUAGGUAUAUUGCGUUGAGUACCAUCUGUCUUUGUCCCUCAGAUUAAUGUGUACAUAGACUCAUCUUUUUACGCCCUCUAGGCUAAAUUGGACGUGGCCUAGAAAUUAUAUAUGGUCAGUUCAAUCGUGGUUUCAUUGGAUAGGAUAUGCAUUACAAGAUAGCAAGCACGUCAAGUUAAUAAAUAUGAGACGAGCCUAAACGAGCAUACUGAACUUGGAUGCCACAAACUUUUCGAUUUUGUAGUUUUAUAUGAUUUUAUCAGCCUUGCAUUCUUAAUUUCAGUACUGUAAAUGCUGUGACCAGACAAACUACUUCUGCGGAGAACCAGAGUUGAACUAAAAACAUCUGACUGAACACCCGCAGAUGGUGAUCUUACUUAUUAUUCCAUUCAUCAUGUGCUAACUAUUUGAAUAGAAACUGUUUUGUGAUAAGGGUACAGUGUCUAUCCAUCAGUCCUAUACCCCACUGAUAGUAUUUUCAUAGUCCUUCCAGUUUGCCUACAUAGAACCUCCAGUACAUUUAUGAAUAGCUAAAGUCUUCUUUGUUCAAAAAAAAAGUCUUCUUUGUUCAAGUUAUCUAUUAUGGUAUAUGUUUCCAUAUGUUUAAAACAUCUAGAAAACCAAAGCUAGGAUCUGCAUGUCUAAAGGAAUAGUACAACCUUUGGUUUUUUUAAAGCUUAAAGCUGGAGCCAAAUAUUCUGUUCAAUAAAGCUCUAACCUCGCUUUCCAUCUUAAGAAUUGUUGGAAGAUGUACCUGUGAAUCCUCCACACUGUACACCUUGAGGAGCUUGGUCCUCUGCAUUAUACACCUUCAGGAGCUUGCCUUUUUCUUUUGUAGAACACACUGUGUGAUUAAGAUUUGGGAUAUGCUUCGUUGAACUGCUGGCGUUAAUUUCUGUAAUCUGUAGCCACUGGCUCAUGUCCAAGAUCGAAGCUACUCGGCUGCAAUCGGAUCGCGGGGGCUGUGGCUGCGACCAUUGGCGGGAUCCUGCAGUAGGAGCACAUCCACAUGACCGUGAGCAGAGUGGUUGCGUGCAGUGUUCAGGAAGUUCAGAGUAACUAUUAUAAACUCGAAGGCUGCUCAUGAAAGCGAAUGUUCAGAGUAACUAUUAUAAAUUUCAGUUGUAGGUUUACCAAGAAAAAACUUCAACAAUUAAUCAUAAGGCAUACUUUUAAUCCAAGAUCAGGAAGUGUAAUACAGUAUGAUAUAACUCACCAGUUUAUUCAUAAUUUUCUCUAGAAGGAUUACUAGCGGAUCAGUAUUUCUGGUACCAUAGUACCUGAUAUGUUCAUUGAAUUGCAUGUUGGGUAAAUUCAGCUCAAGCAUAAUCUCACCUAAUUUACCUUUUGGUUCUCUCCAUGCUGCUAGCCUUUCCAUGGCUCUUAAUAUUGGUACCCUGCGUAGGUGACCUUCUUGCACACUUAAAGUUUAGUAGUGUUGAUGCCAGAUGGAUCAGACGAAGUAAUUGCAUAGCAUCUAUAGAAAGGCAUAUACAUAUGUACAAUGUUGAGUGCCUUACAAGGGUUACAUUAAAUGUCUUAUCUUACGACUAUUAUAAAUGUUACUAAACAUUCUUUUGUUGAAAGUAUAAACUUCUAUUUUCCUGUUGUGAGGGUAAUAGCCAUACUAAUCAGAAAAUAAAUUUGGUAUUUGCUCACGGAUAUGGCAAGUAAAUAUGUUUUGCUCUGCCAUGUGAACUUUUAUACUUUCUCUGAGGGCUCCGCAUAAUUCAAUGUUUUCAGAGUAGAUGCCCAUUUAGUAAUUUGGUAAGUAGGUAUUCUUGAUAAACUCUGAAAGGAUAUUGAUAACAACUAAAAAUAUAACUUAUAGAUAUAUUAUUAAAAAUUCUUUCUAAAUUUGACUUCUCCAUUCCGUUCAACUCUUCUGUACAUCUCAUAUAGAAUGGAACCGCUCCUUUUCCACUAGCUCUUAUUACUUACUCUUAUCGUGCAUCGACGCAGGUCAGAAGAAGUGCAAGCUUAACCAUUCUUUUCUGGAUUUAUUUGCGCCUACAGGUGUCAUUGUUCUCAUAGCAAACAACAUCAUUUGAGGCCAGGUCUGCGUCUUCCGUUAGGUUUCCAAAUGGUUGAAUUUUUGCUGCAGUCCAUGCAAAUUCGGAAGAACCUGUGGAGCUUUCUUUAUGGACCAUGAUAGAUUCACAUCUGUCAUUUUCAGGCCAGACUAACAGUACAUGCCUACCUAGGUGUGUUGUUUAACUAAGGAUUCAUUCAGUGCUUGAAAAUAAUCUACUUUCCAUGAUGUUCACCCCGCUUUCGGAAGUGCAUCAGAUAUGUAUAACUUUCCUUUUGAUCAUUCCAACUAGCAUGCAAUUAAAUGCUUUUUUAUUUGAAACAACUUGGUCAACACAAAAUUGCUAGAUGAACACAUGGCGAAACAUUCCCACCAGCGCGGUGUACCGCCGUGUGAAGGCCUGAUAUGCGUAUACCUGUAUACCUAUUCUUUUCACUGCAGUGUAUUGUAUUCAUAUGGUGCAAUGGGUUCAAACAUACACCUCAGAGAAUGUGUACAUACAACGCAGUCUGACUGAUGCUGCUUCUAUUCUUGAUUGAUGACAUGUUUGCAUUCA